rnacentral:sRNA from 1 species
UUGACAAGUAUUAAUCUGAAGUCCUCUCUCUAUCUCCACAAUGGUACAGGCGUUGCAAGAGCAUUGCAAGCUUUCAUAUGCUGCCCCAGCAGUGUACCUCAACUCUGACCUGGACAGACCACCAGUGAUGGGACAGUAAGUCAGUUUUGAUCCCUAUUUAGUCCUUGGCCUCU